UCUCCGCGCAGCCCAGCCCGAACGCCGCGCGCCGCCGCCACUGCAGCUCGCGGCCCCUUCGCCUCCGCCCGCCUUUCCCGUGGCUGAUUUGCCUUAAACUCCCUAAAACCUCCGCAGCCCCGGUUCCUGCUGCGGCCGGUCUCUAAUUAAUAGAAGAUGGCAAAGCCCAGCCACAGCAGCUACGUCCUUCAGCAGCUAAACAACCAAAGGGAAUGGGGUUUUCUCUGUGACUGUUGUAUUGCGAUCGAUGACAUUUACUUCCAAGCACACAAAGCAGUUCUGGCUGCCUGUAGCUCCUAUUUUAGAAUGUUUUUCAUGAACCAUCAGCACAGUACUGCGCAACUGAAUCUCAGCAACAUGAAAAUUAGCGCCGAGUGUUUUGAUCUCAUUCUGCAGUUUAUGUAUUUAGGCAAAAUCAUGACUGCUCCCUCUAGUUUUGAGCAGUUUAAAGUGGCAAUGAACUAUCUACAGCUGUACAAUGUUCCUGACUGCUUAGAAGACAUACAGGAUGCAGAUUGUUCCAGUUCCAAGUGUUCAUCUUCUGCUUCUAGCAAACAGAACAGCAAAAUGAUCUUUGGGGUAAGAAUGUAUGAAGACACAGUGGCUAGAAAUGGCAGUGAGGCCAAUAGGUGGUGUGCAGAACCCAGUUCAACCGUAAAUACACCACAUAACAGAGAGCCCGAUGAAGAGUCUUUACAGUUAGGUAAUUUUCCGGAACCACUGUUUGAUGUCUGUAAAAAAAGUUCGGUGUCCAAAUUAUCUACUCCAAAAGAACGCGUGUCACGACGCUUUGGACGGAGUUUUACCUGUGACAGCUGUGGAUUUGGCUUUAGCUGUGAAAAGUUAUUAGAUGAGCAUGUGCUAACCUGUACUAACAGACAUUCGUACCAAAACACAAGAUCCUACCACAGAAUAGUGGAUCUUAGAGAUGGAAAAGACAGUAAUAUCAAAGCUGAGUUUGGUGAAAAGGAUUCUUCUAAAACAUUUUCUACGCAGACGGACAAAUACAGAGGAGACCCGAGCCAGGCGGCCGAGGAUUCGACUUCAACCCCUGGAAGCAGAAAAAGUAGCACCGUGGAGUCUGAGCUCGCCGGCGAAGAAAAAAGCAGAGCUGCCGAAAGGAAAAGAAUCAUUAUCAAGAUGGAGCCAGAAGAUAUUCCUACAGACGAACUGAAAGACUUUAACAUCAUUAAAGUUACUGAUAAAGACUGUAACGAAUCCACUGACAACGACGAAUUAGAAGACGAACCUGAAGAGCCAUUUUAUAGAUACUAUGUUGAAGAAGAGAUCGGUAUUAAAAAAAGUGGUAGGAAAACUCUAAAACCUCGGAUGUCAAUAAGUGCUGAGGAAAGAGGAGGUUUAGAAAGUAUGAGGCCCCCUAACAACAGCAGUCCGGUACAAGAGGAUACCGAAAAUGCGUCUUGUGAGCUGUGCGGACUCACAAUCACCGAGGAGGACCUGUCAUCCCAUUACUUAGCCAAACACAUUGAAAAUAUCUGUGCGUGUGGUAAAUGCGGACAGAUCCUUGUUAAGGGCAGACAGCUUCAGGAACAUGCGCAGAGAUGUGGAGAACCCCAAGAUCUGACAAUGAAUGGCUUAGGAAAUGCCGAGGAGAAAAUGGACAUGGAAGAGAAUCCUGAUGAGCAGUCAGAAAUAAGAGAUAUGUUUGUUGAAAUGUUGGAUGAUUUCAGGGACAAUCAUUUCCAGAUAAACAGUAUCCAAAAAAAGCAGUUAUUUAAACAUUCUGCCUGUCCUUUCCGAUGUCCGAAUUGUGGCCAGCGUUUUGAAACUGAGAACCUGGUGGUUGAACAUAUGUCUAGCUGCCUAGACCAAGAUGUGUUUAAGAGUGCCAUCAUGGAAGAAAACGAGAGAGAUCACAGACGAAAGCAUUUUUGUAAUCUGUGUGGAAAAGGAUUUUAUCAGCGGUGCCACUUGAGAGAACACUACACUGUUCACACCAAGGAGAAACAGUUUGUCUGUCAGACAUGUGGAAAGCAGUUUUUAAGAGAGCGUCAGUUGCGACUGCACAAUGAUAUGCACAAAGGCAUGGCCAGCAAACUCAAGGACAUACUACUUGGUAACAUAUCAGAAGAGUCUUAUACUAAAACCAGAUGAAAUGUAGCUACUUAUAAAUUUAUAUGCUGGCAAGAAGCAAAGAUGCAAGGAUUUAAAAUGCAAGGACUUUUAUGUCUUGGUGAAAUAGGGCCUUCUAAACCUCUGGAGAAGUGAGAUCUGAAUUUGGAGAGGACAUGGGGAAGAAUCAAUCUUCAACAGAUAAUCUUUAAGUCCAGACCCAGGAAUAUCAGAUCUGAAGUGACACCAUCUUUUCUGUCUUCCUGACAAAGCUCAUCAAUCCCAAAGGUUCCAGUUUCAAGGAUCCAAGAAAACUCAGUAAAGAUCACUUUGGAAUCACUUUGCUGUGACAAAAUUGAUUCACGGUGACUCUCCUAGUAUUUGUGGAAAAUCUGCUAAAGAAAAGUAACAGAAUAUUCAUAUGGCAUCAGUGGUUAAAGCUACACUAAAAUGAGACUUUAUAUAACAGAAUAUUCAUAUGGCAUCAGUGGUUAAAGCUACACUAAAAUGAGACUUUAUAUGCUAAUUAUCUUCCAUGGUCCCUUCUAGAAUAAAAGGGGUUGCUAAGCUACCAUAAAUAUAUUAUAAAGAGAUAAUAACGUAUCUGUGUAAACACAUAUAAUCCUAAAAUUAAAAUAAUCUCAAUCACAGUUUACAUAUUAUGAAAUGUAGUUAGACAAUUAAAAAAAUUACAGUCCAAAAUCUACAGUUUAGAGUAUAAAUAAAGAGAUGUGGGUACAGAGAAAAAAACAAUGAGACCAAUUUUUUAACAAGAAAAGAUAAUCUACUUAUUACUCGUUGUAAUGUAACAUUUGCCCUUCCUCCUUUUUCACUGUCUAUACUCGUCACAAACUUGGUUGUUAAUAUUAAUGAAGCUCCCUUUAAGCCUGUUAACUCAAAGGAAAACCAAAGUGGUUAUUACUUCAAUAGUAGAUUUUCAUAAAUCACAGACAACAAAAAGAAUGUAUCUUAAGACACAUUAUUUUCUUCUGAAUUUAGCAAUAUAACCUAAUAAGGUAGAAUGAGUUUCUGUUAAAUAUUUAUUCUCAGUAUUAACAUAUAAUACCAUAUUUCUCAGCUUUCAAAUUUCAAGAUAAAAUUUAACUAAGUAUUGAGUGAAACAAUGAUUGAUGUGUUUAAAAAAAAAAAAAACAACACAACAAAACACCUUUCACCGGGAAAUGAAAUGUUUGAGGAGAUUUUAACCUGGCUUCAAAUACUUUGUUUUAUAUAUAUAUAUAUAUAUAUAUAUAUAUAUAUAUGCUCAUACACACGUUUCUUAACCAUACAAAUCUUACAGCCAUACUAUUUCCUUAUUGUGAGAUAAUCAUAGUUUUACUUUUGUUUAACUGUCUAUCCAAUUCAUUAUUUAUUAUUAUUGUCUCUUAUGCAAUAUCCUGAUGUUAUAUAUUUCCAGAAAUGCUUAUUUUGUUUUUAUGCCUAUUUCUUCAAAUGUUUUAGUAAAGAAUUACACAAAGAAAUCUAACUUAGAGUAUAUAUAAUAGUAUAUGCAAAAGUUAAGUCAUUUAAAAUCUCUAGCUAUAAAGUGGGAUGAUAGCUUGAAUAUUCCUUCUAAUAAUUAGACUAACAAAAACUUAGAUAAAGUCAAUUAGAAUGAAAGUUAAUUAGAAUGUGGUAGUGGGUAUAGGGGCCUGAAGGGAUAGGAGAAGUAAAGACUUUGAGUUCAUACGAAUUCAACUGCUUUAAGAGAACUAAGUUUAGAAAAAUGUUAAUUCUAAAAAACAAAAAACUAUAGCGAAUCUCUUGGGAAGCAUAUGAACCUGCAGACUUAUAACAAGUAGGAAACAGACAAGAUAAAAGAUUACCUGUAAUUAAAGGUGCCAGAUCGACACAGUAGAGACUCAACAAAUAAUGAUGUAGAAGUAGAUUUAGAAAAGAAAUAUGGCUUAAAUUUUGACUGUACCAAACUAUAACUGUAAUGAAUUACAAUAACUAUAAGUGAUAUAAAUGCAUUCUAUAAUGUGAUUAUUUUCUGUAUGUUAGUAUGAACUGGAGUUACUGAGUGACAUGGAAAAUUUUUGUUACAUAUUUUAAUCCGUUGCUUUUACCUAAUAAAAUUUCCUCCUCUAUGUUCAGAAGUUAAA